rnacentral:rRNA from 1 species
UAAGGAGGAUGAGAGCGUUAUCCGGAUUUAUUGGGUUUAAAGGGUGCGUAGGCGGAAUAUCAAGUCAGCGGUAAAAAUUCGGGGCUCAACCCCGGCCUGCCGUCGGAACUGGGUGCCUUGAGUGGGCGAGAAGUAUGCGGAAUGCGUGGUGUAGCGGUGAAAUGCAUAGAUAUCACGCAGAACUCCGAUUGCGAAGGCAGCAUACCGGCGCUCAACUGACGCUCAUGCACGAAAGCGUGGGUAUCGAACAGG